rnacentral:rRNA from 1 species
AACAAACGCUGGCGGCAGGCCUAACACAUGCAAGUCGAGCGAGGUAGCAAUACCUAGCGGCGGACGGGUGAGUAACGCGUGGGAACGUACCCUUUGCUACGGAAUAGCCCCGGGAAACUGGGAGUAAUACCGUAUGUGCCCUUCGGGGGAAAGAUUUAUCGGCAAAGGAUCGGCCCGCGUUGGAUUAGGUAGUUGGUGGGGUAAUGGCCUACCAAGCCGACGAUCCAUAGCUGGUUUGAGAGGAUGAUCAGCCACACUGGGACUGAGACACGGCCCAGACUCCUACGGGAGGCAGCAGUGGGGAAUCUUAGACAAUGGGCGCAAGCCUGAUCUAGCCAUGCCGCGUGAGUGAUGAAGGCCUUAGGGUUGUAAAGCUCUUUCAGAUGGGAAGAUAAUGACGGUACCAUCAGAAGAAGCCCCGGCUAACUCCGUG